CCUACGGGGAGCAGCAGUGAGGAAUAUUGGUCAAUGGGCGGGAGCCUGAACCAGCCAAGCCGCGUGAGGGAAGAAGGUACAGCGUAUCGUAAACCUCUUUUGUCAGGGAACAAAGGCGGGGACUAGUCCCCGGAUGAGGGUACCUGAAGAAAAAGCAUCGGCUAACUCCGUGCCAGCAGCCGCGGUACUACGGGGGAUGCGAGCGUUAUCCGGAUUUCUUGGGUUUAAGGGGUGGGCAGCCGGCAGGUUAAUUCAACGUGAAAGUCCCGGGGCUCAACCCCGGCGAGCCGUUGAAACUGGCGGGCUGGAGUUGGAGAGAAGUACGCGGAAUGCGCGGUGUAGCGGUGAAAUGCGUAGAUAUCGCGCAGAACCCCGAUUGCGAAGGCAGCGUACCGGCUCCACACUGACGCUGAGGCACGAAAGCGUGGGUAUCGAACAGGAUUAGAUACCCCGGUAGUC
rnacentral:rRNA from 1 species